GCGAGUAGAAAGGAAUCAGCUUAUCUUAUUAAUUACAGAUGCAACAGCAAACUUACAUUAAAAACAUUACAGAAUGGAGAGGAAAUUAAAAAAAGACGACAUAAGCUGGUUUUAAUGCAUGAAUCCAGGAGGUGACUUUGGCGGUGCUCCCAUACCAUGUCGCUGGUUGGCCACCGGAGCAGAGAUCUGAGUUACGGGAGCUGUUCCUCUCCUCCUAAGUUCAUUAUAACCACCAUCUGGGAUACGAUGCAACACCGUUCUUGAAAGCUCCAUUUUGUAGAAAUGGACGCCGAGAUCCCUGCCAUAACAAGUUUUUGCCGUGGAUGCAAAAACUGCGAAGAUGAACAGGAUGGCAUGGAUAUUCAUGAAAUGAACUUUCAUUGCUUCAUAACAUUCAUGAAAUACUUACUACUUGCCUCUAUUUAUUGUUUCGAAGCCUUCGAAGUCAAC
rnacentral:lncRNA from 1 species